rnacentral:rRNA from 1 species
AGUGUGGCGACACAUGGAGCUGACAGAUACUAAUCGAUCGAGGACUUAACCAUAUUUUUGAAUGAUGUCACACCUGUUAUCUAGUUUUGAGAGAAUAAGUUUUUUUAAAAAAACACUUGAUUUUCUCAAGAAUACAUAGUAUAAUGUUAAAUGUCACUGAAAUUGUCUGGUGAUGAUGGCGAAGAGGUCACACCCGUUCCCAUGCCGAACACGGAAGUUAAGCUCUUCAGCGCCGAUGGUAGUCGGGGGUUUCCCCCUGUGAGAGUAGGACAUCGCCAGGC